UGGUGUCUUCAUGAAAGUUGUAGAUAUGUGUUUUAGCUUUAAUUGGGCGUUGGUCUGAUCUCAUUCCGAAAUCUAGAACUCAAGAUAUGAUCAAAAUACUACACAGGGGUCAGCAAGGUCGUGCUCUUUUUCGAGGCUUAGGAAAACAAAUUUUUGACAAUUUUACAUUCUGAACUAGGUUUCGAUAUAAACAUAAAAGUUGUAGAUAUGGAAGUCAGUUUUCAUGUGGCUUUGGAGUGACUCCAAUAGAAUGUCAAAAACAUGAGUUAUGAUCAAAAUACUACACAGAGGUCAGCACGGUCGUACAUUCUGUG
rnacentral:lncRNA from 1 species